AUCAUUUGGUGGUGGCACUUCCCAACGUAGCGGGUGGUGUGAAGCUCUGUGCUCAUUUGAAAGUGACCAGAAUCAACAAGAAGCCCGCAGAAAUGCGGGCUUUUUUGU
rfam:Shewanella putrefaciens CN-32, complete genome.